UGCAGCGAUUAGAGACACAGGUUAUGCUUCCAUCACAGCAAGUUUAUUGCUGCGAUGAUAAUGAGACCUGUAACAUUU
ensembl:snoRNA